rnacentral:rRNA from 1 species
UACGUAGGGUGCAAGCGUUGUCCGGAAUUAUUGGGCGUAAAGAGCUCGUAGGCGGUCUGUCGCGUCUGCUGUGAAAGCCCGGGGCUCAACCCCGGGUCGGCCGUCGAUACUCUUGGGCUCGAGCACUGUAGAGGCAGGUGGAAUUCCGGGUGUAGCGGUGGAAUGCGUAGAGGUCCGGAAGAACACCGGUGGCGAAGGCGGCCUGCUGGGCAGUUGCUGACACUGAGGCGCGACAGCGUGGGGAGCAAACAGG